rnacentral:rRNA from 1 species
UAUGACUCUCGGCAAUGGAUAUCUUGGCUCUUGCAUCGAUGAAGAGCGCAGCGAAAUGCGAUACGUGGUGUGAAUUGCAGAAUCCCGUGAACCAUCAAGUCUUUGAACGCAAGUUGCGCCCGAGGCCAAUUGGCUAAGGGCACGUCCGCCUGGGCGUCAAGCAUU